UACGAAGGGGGGCUAGCGUUGUUCGGAAUUACUGGGCGUAAAGCGCACGUAGGCGGCUUUGCAAGUUAGAGGUGAAAGCCCGGGGCUCAACUCCAGAACUGCCUUCGAUACUGGCGAUCUUGAGUCCGGAAGAGGUGAGUGGAACUCCUAGUGUAGAGGUGGAAUUCGUAGAUAUUAGGAAGAACACCAGUGGCGAAGGCGGCUCACUGGUCCGGUACUGACGCUGAGGUGCGAAAGCGUGGGGAGCAAACAGG
rnacentral:rRNA from 1 species